CUGGCAGUAAAACAGCGCUUAAGUAUAUAAUAAAUGACUUGUCAGCACAUGGGGUCCCGAUUCAUACAGAGUAAUCAACGGCAAAAAUAAUUUGCUACCGUUCAUCCUAUGACAGCAAGUAAAAUUAUCACGGGAAAAGAUUUUUACGAGGACAACUGAUUACGUCAUCUGACAUUGAUUGUUGAUAAAAUAUUGGUGAAUUGAUUCGAUGUUUUUCGGUGUUUUAAAGAAUAUUCUACACUGACAACGUCUGCUUUGACAAAACUUAUAUAAAACUGGAUUAUUCGGGUUAGGCACUUCACCAUGCACUUAUGAUUUAAAGUACUCCAACCCUUGGGAUUAUGCCAAACAAGUGCAUUUUUCCCCAUCAUUCUCAACCGGUUGGUCCAAUAUGUUUUAGGACACCAAGAAAGUUCCAUGUGUUUGGUGUUUGUGUAGAGGGAUCAGGACUUCAUGGAAGUGUCAGUCUCAACAUGCUUGGUACUUUUAUAUCUGGAAAGUGAAAAACAAUGCAAAAGGUUGCCUAAAUGUACUGUCCUGAAGUCAUCAAGACAUGGGCACAAGAUCCUACAGCUUAUAGAUGAUCCAGAAAAUCCCUAGGAAGUCACUUCUUAUGUGAAACCCCUCAAACUGUUAUCAAAAUACCACCAUUUUUGUGCAAGUGCAAUGGAGCCAAGUGUUAUAACAUGUAAAGAAUAUAUUAACUCUGUGGAAGUAAAAAUGUAUUUACUGAAACAAUUGCCUCCCAGAGGUCUUUUACCUGAAGUACAGUAAUGAUGCAGCAAGACAUUAGUAUCUAUUUGAACAAUUGGGCAGUUCUUCAAAUCUGACAUAGAUAAAAUACUGUGUGGCCAAAACCAGUUAUCCCGAAAACAGAAAUAAAGUUGGAUAUUGACAAUUAUGUGAAAAAGGUGGAAAGAGAAAGAGCAGUCUUUUACUCUUGAGU